rnacentral:rRNA from 1 species
AGCGCAGGCGGUUUUUUAAGUCUGAUGUGAAAGCCUUCGGCUCAACCGAAGAAGUGCAUCGGAAACUGGGAGACUUGAGUGCAGAAGAGGACAGUGGAACUCCAUGUGUAGCGGUGAAAUGCGUAGAUAUAUGGAAGAACACCAGUGGCGAAGGCGGCUGUCUGGUCUGUAACUGACGCUGAGGCUCGAAAGUAUGGGUAGCAAACA